AUUGAACGCUGGCGGCAUGCCUUACACAUGCAAGUCGAACGGCAGCAUGGAGAGCUUGCUCUCUGAUGGCGAGUGGCGAACGGGUGAGUAAUGCAUCGGAACGUACCGUGUAAUGGGGGAUAACGUAGCGAAAGUUACGCUAAUACCGCAUACGACCUGAGGGUGAAAGCAGGGGAUCGCAAGACCUUGCGUUAUACGAGCGGCCGAUGCCAGAUUAGCUAGUUGGGGGGGUAAAGGCUCACCAAGGCGACGAUCUGUAGCGGGUCUGAGAGGAUGAUCCGCCACACUGGGACUGAGAAACGGCCCAGACUCCUACGGGAGGCAGCAGUGGGGAAUUUUGGACAAUGGGGGCAACCCUGAUCCAGCAAUGCCGCGUGAGUGAAGAAGGCCUUCGGGUUGUAAAGCUCGUUCGGCCGGGAAGAAAUCGCACAGGCUAAUACUCUGUGUGGAUGACGGUACCGGCAUAAGAAGCACCGGCUAACUACGUGCCAGCCGCCGCCGUAA
rnacentral:rRNA from 1 species